GCCACCUUCCUCUAACCACUUCCUGCCGUCUCCUCUUCGUGGUUUCUGCCAGUAGUUACUUCCUUUAAUUGGUCACAUAAUUUGUGUGAUGCAAAAAGUUGCUUCCAUUGUAGUUUUGCAAAAUAAGCCAGAACGUGUUGUGUCCAUUAAGUGACUUUAUUGUUGUAAUUUAUUUUGUUUUUCUGUCCUACGGUCAGUGGAAACGCAGAUCUGACAACUCAGCCGCCUUUUUUUUUAAAAAACAGGAAACGGCUUCAGAUCUCACUGGAGCGUUGAAGAGGAUCAGCUCCAGAGACUCGGCACAAAAACCUCCCAAACUGAGUGCAGUAAAAGGCUGAGAGUUGCGUGCGCCGGUCCAGAACACACACACAGCCACACCUGAGCCGCCUUCAAUAGGCGUUAUUCAGCAGCCUGACAGCCGGGACAAUGGCGCCGACCGCGGCCGUCCGCUGAGGAGGAACCGACCUGCCUGAACACAUCGGGCCGCCGAGGCUUUCCGUGCCGCCGUGACUUCAGUUUGACAGUAAAGAGCCGUUUGUCUCUCAUUGCAUGCUGGGUUUAAGCUGCAUCACCAGUCGUAUCCAACCAGAAGCCUUAAGGAGGAGGGAACCCCAGGAAGGACGCAGAGUGGCUGAAGGAGGACGAAGCUUUGAACUGAGGCGACUUCCAGGCUGAACUCUGACCGUACGACUCCGGAGUGGACGGAGAAAAACGGCUGGAAAACAACAGAAAUGAUCCUGUUACUCUGAAUUUACAACAAAAUCCUCAUUUUUCAGAA